rnacentral:rRNA from 1 species
GACGAACCGAGCGAACGUUGUUCGGAAUCACUGGGCGUAAAGCGCGUUCAGGCGGUUUGGCAAGUCGGGCAUGAAAUCUCUCGGCUCAACCGGGAGAGGUUGUCCGAUACUGCUGGACUUGAGGGCAGUAGAGGGUGGUGGAAUUCCGGGUGUAGUGGUGAAAUGCGUAGAUAUCCGGAGGAACACCAGUGGCGAAAGCGGCCACCUGGACUGCACCUGACGCUGACACGCGAAAGCUAGGGGAGCGAACGGG